rnacentral:rRNA from 1 species
AAUAGAUACCCAGGUAGUCCACGCCGUAAACGAUGAGUGCUAGGUGUUAGGGGGGUCCAACCCCUUAGUGCUGAAGUUAACACAUUAAGCACUCCGCCUGGGGAGUACGACCGCAAGGUUGAAACUCAAAGGAAUUGACGGGGGCCCGCACAAGCAGUGGAGCAUGUGGUUUAAUUCGAAGCAACGCGAAGAACCUUACCAGGUCUUGACAUCCUCUGACAACCCUAGAGAUAGGGCGUUCCCCUUCGGGGGACAGAGUGACAGGUGGUGCAUGGUUGUCGUCAGCUCGUGUCGUGAGAUGUUGGGUUAAGUCCCGCAACGAGCGCAACCCUUGAUGUUAGUUGCCAGCAUUCAGUUGGGCACUCUAACGUGACUGCCGGUGACAAACCGGAGGAAGGUGGGGAUGACGUCAAAUCAUCAUGCCCCUUAUGACCUGGGCUACACACGUGCUACAAUGGGCGGUACAAAGGGCAGCGAAACCACGAGGUGAAGCGAAUCCCAUAAAGCCGCUCUCAGUUCGGAUUGCAGGCUGC